CCAGUCUGACAUGAGUGCCACAUCGAGGACAGUGCAUAAGUUGACUUGCAGCCAGGACAUGAAACAAGCUGUGCCUUAAUUCUUGGAUCAUACAGUAAAAAGUUUCCCAUGACACUAACCAAUGAAGAGAGAGAGAGUCCUCCUCAGUCUCCUGUCCAACAUUUACUCCUCAACCAACAAUUCCAGUUCCCCAGAUUAUCUGGUCAUUGAUCUCAUUGUUGUUUGUGAAAAGUUGCUGUGUGCCAGUUCUUGCUGUAUUUCCACCUCUACAGCAGUGAUUAUGUUUCAAAAUGAACUCCAUGGGCUGUGUAGGACCCCUGAGGAUGUGAAAGCUUCUAUUCAUGUGUGCAUAAUGUUUGCAAUAAAUCGCCAACAAAGACACCAGCAGCAGAUGUAGUGGCCACAUACCAAAAGCAAGCCAGGCAGGACACAUUGCUGGAAGAAGACACAUCUUGUAGAAGCUUUUCAUCUUGUACUCAUCAGGACAAUGUUGCAAGAAUACCAAUUCAAAGGGAAAACCAACAUCUAUGCUGCAUGAAAGAAGAGUGCUGAUUGGUUGAUGAGAGGACUUUGUUUGAGCAGGGAGACCAGAACUGAACACAAUAUUCCAAAAGUGGCCUAAUCAAUGUACUGUACAGCUGCGAUAUGAUAUCCCAACUCCUGUACUCGAUACAACUGAUCAAUAAAGACAAGCAUUCCAAAUGCCUUCUUGACUAUCCUGUCUACCCGUGACUCUGCUUUCAAGGAACUGAUGAACCUGCACUCCAAAGUCUCUUUGUUCAGCAACAUUCCCCAGGAAUAUUCC